rnacentral:tRNA from 1 species
GCCGGCGAUGGUCCGGCGUCGGGCCGGUGCGGCUCAAGUCGGCGGGCGCCAGUUCUCGGAGCUGCGGGUGGCGCCGUUCGCGGCCGCGCAGCGGCGC